rnacentral:rRNA from 1 species
UACGAAGGGGGCUAGCGUUGUUCGGAAUCACUGGGCGUAAAGCGCACGUAGGCGGUCUGUCGCGUCGGCUGUGAAAUCCCGAGGCUCAACCUCGGGUCUGCAGUCGAUACGGGCAAACUAGAGUAUUGCAGGGGAGACUGGAAUUCCUGGUGUAGCGGUGAAAUGCGUAGAUAUCUGGAGGAACACCGGUGGCGAAGGCGGCAUCCUGGACCAACACUGACGCUGAUGAGCGAAAGCCAGGGGAGCAAACGGG